GCUGGAACAGAGGGAAACGUUGGGAGAACAGCUUGUGUUUAGGGAUUUGGAGUUGAGACUUGGGAAAUCCAGAAGUCAGUUAUUCUUCGUCCCGCGCCUUUCAUUGCUGAUCCCCUCGCACGGAGGGUUGUUACCCUGAGUUCCUCGUGUGCCCCUGCGGCUGCCACAGACCUGGCAGAGACAUGGGAAGGAAGGAAGAAGAAGCAUCCUUGGUGUACAGGGGUCUGGCUGUGACAAACACCCAACAGAUGCAGCAUAAAUGAGAAAAGUUACAAGGACAUUCUAGGACUGUGGAGCAUGAAUAAAGACAUGGGAAGGAAGAAAGAAGCAGCAUCCUUGGUGUACAGGGGUCUGGCUGUGACAAACACCCAACAGAUG